AGUGCAGUUCUUUUUGUCUUGUUUUUAUCUGCACGCCAUUGUUUGUGUGUGCGCGCGCGAAGUCUCGUUCACACCAUCCAUUUUCUCUCCCCUACACACACACACACACAGGCGCACGCGCGCUCCCGCACACGCGGCGUUCCGUUUGUAGUCCUCCCUGAUCGAGAGGGUACAAGAGACGGCAAAUAGACGAGAUCGCAGAUCCGAACGUCCUCGAGGAGACGCGCGAUCGACAUAGUUGUGGUGCUUGUGCAAGAGGUGGCUUAGCGCGUUUCACUGUGUUCACACAGGAAGGAGUGCACUCGCCGCCGCGAUUCGCACACAGAGCUGUGUGCGUUCGCGUGCGUUCAACUCGUUAACGUGCGUGCUUACGCUGCGGCUCUGUAUGCUGCAAAGCCGUCCCACGGAUCCCUCUCAUUGUAUAGAUAUACAUAGCGAGGUGAACGGUCUCCUUGGAGAGUGGACGCUUACGUCCGCCGAUCGGCGUCUGCCCCUUGCGACCUCGUCUGCUUUCACACCUCCUCUCCUUCUUCCUCUUCCACAGCCAUUCAGUGAGCCUUCGUUAGCCUCCCAAAGAGUUUCCGUCUCAUGUCUCAUCAAGGGUUUUCUUUAACGUUUUAUCUUUGCCUCGUUUUCACAGACGUUCAGAUCGAACGCGAAAAAAAAAACGACGAUAUCAGGCUCAACCGCCAAACUGCGUGCAUUGAUAAACCCUGCGGUGCUCUUUCCUUUUCAUUGCGGAUUCCUGCUUUCACGCACAACUUCUCAGCUCCCUUCGGUGUCUCUUCCCCCCCCCCCCGAGUGCAUUAUAAUCAGGGGCCAGUUUUCUAGCCACUUCCCUUUUUUUACAUCUUCACUCGGGGAGACGGGGGAGGUUGGAAGGAAGGGUCGACUAUCACUCCCGUGAGGACAG
rnacentral:misc_RNA from 1 species